CUGUCAUCACUCAUNAUCAUUUCCCGAGGUGAACCUGCGGAAGGAUCAUUCGUGAUUGCCGAAAGGCUUAUCAUAUUCAAACACACCUGUGAACCGUUGGUCUCCGGACCUCUUUACACCCAAACGUAGUCUGAUGAAUGUAUCAUUGUAUAACAGAAAUAAAACUUUCAACAACGGAUCUCUUGGCUCUCGCAUCGAUGAAGAACGCAGCGAAUUGCGAUAAGUAAUGUGAAUUGCAGAAUUCAGUGAAUCAUCGAAUCUUUGAACGCACCUUGCGCCCCUUGGUACUCCGAGGGGCAUGCCUGUUUGAGUGUCAUGAAAUAUCAAUCCCCCGGGUUUGUAAUGAACCCGUCGGACUUGGACUUGGGUGUUUGCCGUGUCACAACGGCUCGCCUUAAAUGCAUCAUGGUGGUUUGGCCCUGUGCGGACAGGACGUGAUAAGUCGUCGUCCCAUCUGCCUUGGCCCCGCCUCAUAAACCGUCCUCGGACACCUUUUUCAUCUCUGACCUCAAAUCAGGUAGGACUACCCGCUGAACUUAAGCAUAUCAAUAAGCGGAAAGAAUAAUUUUGAU
rnacentral:rRNA from 1 species